CAAUCAUUUUUAAAAACACAUUUAUUGUAUAUUUUACAUGAUUUUGUUUUUAUUCUUGGCACCGAGCAGGAUAUACUCAUAGUGUUUAUAGCAUCUUAUUAUGUAGUGGAGCUUUAUAGUUUGUCUUUGAUGACUACAGAUGGAAAUGAAUCUGGUGCAACUGUCUUUGCAUUUUCCUUUGCAUAAAUGAUCAAUGUCAUUGCACACGCUGUCCCCUUGAUAGAUAAAAUAAAUGAAAAGGAUCCACUGGUCGGAUUGGAACCCCGGCCGUUCGCUACAGCCUACUUACAUGGUGCAUGCAAACUAACUAGCGAGGCCAUCUGCUCGCUUAUUAUUCUUAACUUAGUGAUAAACAAAUUUUGAAUUUUGAUAAAAAAUCAUCUGAAAAAUACAAAAAAAAAUGUGCUUCAAGUUAUUUGAAGGUGAAUUGACCUCCAGUGCAAAGUCAAAAUUUUCAGUUAAACAAAACAGACACUACAACAUGGCAAUUUCAGUGAUAUAAGUACUUACACCAUCACCUAUAUACGGUUUAAAAUCUUAGAAAAUAGGAUGCAUAAUUUGGCUUGAAAAUGUCUUAUAACGUUAAAUUUACGAACAAGAAGAGGAAAAAAAAUCUGUCUUUUGUGGUAUUUUUUGCAGUGUGGUAUUCCUCUCAUUCCCUGCGUCCCCUCCCUCUCCAUUGUUUGUAGUUUGAGUGUGUGCAUGUGUGUAUCCAGUUCUUUGAGAGGGUCAAAGCCUUGUUUAAUGUGUGUGUGUGUGUGUGUGUCCCCCAUGUUUUUCUCAUGCAGAUCAGCCACAUAAGCCUCUCCACACAGGCUUUCACAUGGUCCUGCUGUAGUGUUCAACUUCUCAACAGAACCCACUUGUUCGCUGUAGUUGGCCGACUGGUCUCCUGCUCCUAUUCUGCACACACAAUGCUCACUGAGGCUGUGGCUGUUGACUCGGCCGACAGUUCGAGAGUCCCGCUAAGUCUUGGUUGAAACAAAAGCGUACAGAGACACUCGUCUGAAGACUGUGUCAAGUGUCACCGUCUAUGUUGUGUUGACUCUUGUCCAACGGGCCACGUCUCCUUUAAAACGGUUUCAUGAUUAUUCAGUCCCCAUUGCAUUUUACAUUUCUCUUUGCCCUCUAAGGAAGUUAAACAAAUAUGUUCUGGAGCAUUGGGACAUCAUUUAUCCAUUCAGUAACUAUCUGGAAGACUUACUCUACGACUUUCAGAGCAGAUUUUCAGAUCAAAACAAAGCUCUCCUCAGACACACCUCCUUCACCCCUCAGCUGCCCUUCCAAGCGUUGUUCGCUCACAAUAAAAUAUAGUCAAGAUAUUUCCAGUGUGCCAUGGAGUUUUGAUUUAUUUUUCAUGGUAUGUUCCUGCAACCGUGCACACCUGAGAACAUGUUUAGGCUGUUCCCGGGGUUCCCUGUUGGCCAAUUAUAUUUCCUUUGAGGUUGAAUACAAUUUAGGAAAAUCAGAAUUACAAAAAAAAAUGAUCCAUCAACUGUUGAGUCACUUGAUAAUCGUCUUGCCUUAAUGGCUGAGACUUUUGUUUACCUACUUUCUCCCGAUGUUUCCUCUGUGGUGACAAAUGCAAAUGGUUCCAUACAAUGCUAACUAGCAUGUUGUUUGUUCAGCACAGUUUUUCCUCCAUUUCCGUCUCUACAGAGAGCAGCUACAGUCUAACAUGCUGAGUCUGAAUGGGCCGUCAUAGAGCCAGUGACACUGCCCCUCAGUAUUUUGUAAAAAAAAAACUGUUCCAUGUAAACCGAAUACUCAUAUUUGUUUCAUUCAAACUUUUUGAAUUAUUGACUUAUAGCAUCGUAAUCAUUGAGAAGAAGAAUCUCUGACCAUGGGGGUCAAGACUUCUGACUUUUAUUCAUUUUAUACACUUCAAACAUCGAGUGAUUUUAUAUUACUCCAAGGUGUAAAGGAUGUUGAGCAGUGCCAAGAGUUGAUUAUGUAGCCUAGCAACAUGUAAUGAUGUCAUUGACUAUUUCCUUGUGUUAUCUCUGUGCAGUUCUCUGUAUAUUUAUGUGUCAGUCGUUGUGAUCUGCAUUGUGCUAAGGCGGCUUUAGGCUCCACUACUCUCUGGACGUGUGAGGACCGACCAAAGACUACACACCGCCGACCACCGCAUCAAUGAUUCAUCUUUAUGAGAAUAUAAAAGCAUUUACUGCAUUUUUAUAUGAAUGCAUGUCCCUCCUGUAUCACUUGAGCUCUUUUUAAAAGCAAAAAUGAACAAAAGACACCAAAGACAUUAGCUUCCAUUGCAACUUAAAGAGAAUAAAUUCACAAUAAUAUUAACCCUCAAUAUAAUCUGCAUAACGCUGAGGAUGAAAUGAUUUCCCAACUGUGUUAAAAAC